rnacentral:misc_RNA from 1 species
GAUGAAGAACGCAGCGAAAUACGAUAAGUAAUGUGAAUUGCAGAAUUCAGUGAAUCAUCGAAUCUUUGAACGCACAUUGCGCCCGGUAGUAUUCUGCCGGGCAUGCCUGUUCGAGCGUCAUUUCAACCAUCAAGCCCCCAGGGGCUUGUGCUGGGGCCCUGCGGCUGCCCGCAGGCCCUGAAAACCAGUGGCGGGCUCGCUAGUCACACCGAGCGCAGUAGCACAUCUCGCUCAGGGCGUGCGGCGGGCUCCUGCCGUGAAACCCCCCACUGUAACCCCAAAGGUUGACCUCGGAUCAGGUAGGAAUACCCGCUGAACUUAAGCAUAUCAAUAAGCGGAGGA